rnacentral:rRNA from 1 species
GAUGAACGCUGGCGGCGUGCCUAAUACAUGCAUGUCGAACGAAGAUCUAGCUUGCUAGAUCUUAGUGGCGAACGGGUGAGUAAUACAUAAAUAAUCUGCCCAUAUGACUGGGAUAACUAUUGGAAACGAUAGCUAAUACCGGAUAGGUUGAUCGGAGGCAUCUCUGAUGAAUUAAAGUAGGAUUUCUACACAAAUGGAUGAGUUUAUGGCGCAUUAGUUAGUUGGUGGGGUAACGGCCUACCAAGACGAUGAUGCGUAGCCGACCUGAGAGGGUGACCGGCCACACUGGGACUGAGACACGGCCCAGACUCCUACGGGAGGCAGCAGUAGGGAAUUUUCGGCAAUGGGCGCAAGCCUGACCGAGCAACGCCGCGUGAGUGAUUAAGGCCUUCGGGUUGUAAAGCUCUGUUGUAAGGGAAGAACAUUCAGGAUAGGAAAUGAUCUUGAACUGACGGUACCUUACCAGAAAGCCACGGCUAACUACGUGCCAGCAGCCGCCGUAACAC